rnacentral:rRNA from 1 species
UUAUACUUGCAUCUUAUUAAAUCAGAUGUUGGUUUUUCAUAGAAAUUCUUAUGGAAAGUAAAAGUGCCUGCAAAAAUUAAGUUUUUCCUAUGGCUUCUGAAUAAAAAGAGCAUUAUAACUAGAGACAAUUUACUGAAGAGGGGCUGGAAGGGAGACAAACACUGUGUACUGUGUGGGAAAGAGGAGAAUAUUGAUCACCUCUUCUCCUGCUCUGUUGCUAGGCUCAUUUGGAGCCUGGUUGGGUGUGCUUCUGAUCUUAAACUUAUUCCAAAAGAUCUGAAUGAUUGUUUUGGAAUUUGGUUGAAAAAUUCAGCAAAAAUGAUAAGAAACCGGUAUUGA